rnacentral:sRNA from 1 species
GAAAUUAAAGAUAAAAUAUACAGAGUAUCUUAUUUAUCAUUUGAGAAAUCAAUUAAAGAAAAGUGUU